CGUGCAGACGGAAUUGCACGUUGAAGGGAGCGGUAACGCCCCGAUAGUACACCGAGGCUACGGCCAAGGUGAUAAUCCAGAGUAUCGACUUCCAAGAAAAGCAAGCGAGGCGGCCCGUACCGUAAACCGACACAGGUGGUCGGGAUGAGUAUUCUAAGGCGCUCGAGAGAUUCAUGGCUAAGGAACUAGGCAAAAUAGACCUGUAACUUCGGGAGAAAGGUCGCCCUGUAGUAUAACGCUACAGGGCCGCAGUGAAGAGGUCCAGGCGACUGUUUAUCAAAAACACAGGGCUCUGCAAAAUCGAGAGAUGACGUAUAGGGCCUGACACCUGCC
rnacentral:rRNA from 1 species